UACGAGGGGGGCGAGCGUUGUUCGGAAUUAUUGGGCGUAAAGGGUGCGUAGGCGGUUUGGUAAGUCUGGUGUGAAAUCUUCGGGCUCAACUCGAAGUCUGCACGAGAAACUGCCGGGCUUGAGUAUGGGAGAGGUGAGUGGAAUUCCCGGUGUAGCGGUGAAAUGCGUAGAUAUCAAGAGGAACACCUGAGGUGAAGACGGGUUGCUGGGCUGACACUGACGCUGAGGCGCGAAAGCCAGGGGAGCAAACGGG
rnacentral:rRNA from 1 species